rnacentral:rRNA from 1 species
GUGCAGCAGGCGCGAAUCCUCCGCAAUGCGCGCAAGCGCGACGGGGCCAUCCCGAGUGCCGCUCGCUGAGGGCGGCUUUCUCCGGUGUAAGUAGCCGGAGGAAUAAGGAGAGGGCAAGUCUGGUGUCAGCCGCCGCGGUAAUACCAGCUCUCCGAGUGGUGGGGACGAUUAUUGGGCCUAAAGCGUCCGUAGCCGGCUUGACAAGUCUCCCGUUAAAUCCAGCGGCCUAACCGCUGGGCUGCGGGAGAUACUGUCAAGCUUGGGGGCGGGAGAGGCCGGCGGUAUUCCCGGGGUAGGGGUGAAAUCCGUUAAUCCCGGGAGGACCACCAGUGGCGAAGGCGGCCGGCCAGAACGCGCCCGACGGUGAGGGACGAAAGCUGGGGGAGCGAACCGGAUUAGAUACCCCUGUAGU